rnacentral:rRNA from 1 species
CCUACGGGGGGCAGCAGUGGGGAAUAUUGCACAAUGGGGGAAACCCUGAUGCAGCGACGCCGCGUGAAGGAAGAAGUAUUUCGGUAUGUAAACUUCUAUCAGCAGGGAAGAAAAUGACGGUACCUGACUAAGAAGCCCCGGCUAACUACGUGCCAGCAGCCGCGGUAAUACGUAGGGGGCAAGCGUUAUCCGGAUUUACUGGGUGUAAAGGGAGCGUAGGCGGUUUAGCAAGUCAGAAGUGAAAGCCCGGGGCUCAACGCCGGGACUGCUUUUGAAACUGUUGAACUAGAGUGCAGGAGAGGUAAGUGGAAUUCCUAGUGUAGCGGUGAAAUGCGUAGAUAUUAGGAGGAACACCAGUGGCGAAGGCGGCUUACUGGACUGUAAAUGACGCUGAGGCUCGAAAGCGUGGGGAGCAAACAGGAUUAGAUACCCGGGUAGUC